rnacentral:rRNA from 1 species
GGCGCACGGGUGAGUAAUGCAUCGGAACGUGUCCUGGAGUGGGGGAUAACCCAGCGAAAGCUGGGCUAAUACCGCAUAUUGAGGGGACUCGAAAGCGGGGGACCGGUAACGGCCUCGCGCCCGAGGAGCGGCCGAUGCCCGAUUAGCUUGUUGGCGGGGUAAGAGCCCACCAAGGCGACGAUCGGUAGCUGGUCUGAGAGGAUGAUCAGCCACACUGGGACUGAGACACGGCCCAGACUCCUACGGGAGGCAGCAGUGGGGAAUUUUGGACAAUGGGGGCAACCCUGAUCCAGCCAUGCCGCGUGAGUGAAGAAGGCCUUCGGGUUGUAAAGCUCUUUCGGUGGAGAAAAAGCGACUCGGGCUAAUACCCUGGGAAGCGGAUGGUAUCCACAUAAGAAGCACCGGCUAACUACGUGCCAGCAGCCGCGGUAAUACGUAGGGUGCGAGCGUUAAUCGGAAUUACUGGGCGUAAAGCGUGCGUAGGCGGCCAUUUAAGUCUGCUGUGAAAGCCCCGGGCUUAACCUGGGAACUGCGGUGGAAACUGGAUGGCUGGAGUGUGGCAGAGGGGGGUGGAAUUCC